GCGCGAGCGAUUUAGUCUGAGGCGAAGCUUCGGAGCGGCCGGUACUGUUGAAAGCGACAAGUGGAGGCGCCGCUCUAGCGGCCGGGACUCUGAACUAUGGCGAUAAUGAAGGAAGAAAACACAGGAGCCGGAGCAGAAGCAAAGAGGUAAUUAACACUUUGUAGUGAAUAGGUACUUUAAAAUACUUAUAAAGUGUCUGGUAGAAAGAUUUGUAUGAAUAUAAGACGUUGUCAAGGUAAGUACAAAACUUGAAAUUUAAAAGGUUUAUUGGGUUAUAAAAUAAGCAUGAUUUUGAUUCAUCAUUUUUGAAGAAGAUGUUUAUGUGAAAAGUACCUUCAAAACUUUAAUUUUAUUAUAUUGUGAAAAUAUUCACAAUAAAAAUUUCAUAUGAAGAAUAUGAUUGGUUUUUUUAGGCCUGUCACACAGAGCUUCCAUUAAUCUGAGGUCCCGAGUCUCCUGGUGCCUGACAGUUGCUCAGGAUUUUUAAACAGCAAUCAUCUUUACAUAGCAAUACCCUAGAUAUCUGUGCGCUGCUUUUUCCUUAUGAACGAUA
rnacentral:lncRNA from 1 species